rnacentral:rRNA from 1 species
GACGAACGCUGGCGGCGUGCCUAACACAUGCAAGUCGAGCGAGUGAAGUUCCUUCGGGAACGGAUUUAGCGGCGGACGGGUGAGUAACACGUGGGCAACCUACCUCAUAGAGGGGAAUAGCCUUCCGAAAGGGAGAUUAAUACCGCAUAAGAUUGUAGUACCGCAUGGUACAGCAAUUAAAGGAGCAAUCCGCUAUGAGAUGGGCCCGCGGCGCAUUAGCUAGUUGGUGAGGUAACGGCUCACCAAGGCGACGAUGCGUAGCCGACCUGAGAGGGUGAUCGGCCACAUUGGGACUGAGACACGGCCCAGACUCCUACGGGAGGCAGCAGUGGGGAAUAUUGCACAAUGGGGGAAACCCUGAUGCAGCAACGCCGCGUGAGUGAUGACGGCCUUCGGGUUGUAAAGCUCUGUCUUCAGGGACGAUAAUGACGGUACCUGAGGAGGAAGCCACGGCUAACUACGUGCCAGCCGCCGCUGUAA